UAUAGGUGAGGAUGAUUAAGGAAAUCCUAAUAUAUCUGUGACAGAUUGCUUUAGCUGCAGUGACAACAGCUGUGAGCAGGUUAGGGGAAAACCUGGACCAGUAUGUCACCGAUAUCCUCUUCCCAAAUGACCAAAGACCACACCUCAAAGUCCUUAUAGAUGCUGUGAGAAAAAUCAAGAAGAUGGUUAAGAAUGCUGAACCUCCUGCCUCGGAUACUGUGCGGCGUGAGAUUGAAGGCAAGUUAGAGAAGUGCAGAAAUCAGCAAAACAAUCCAAAUUCAUCCCAGUACCGGGCAAACUACUCAGAAUGGGAUGAUGAUGAGGUGAUGAUGGCUGCUUCCCCAAUGCAGGAAGACACAGCUCUUGGAGUAGAGAGAAUACGAUCACCAUCAAACUAUUAACUUACUGUUUUUUUUUUGUUUUUUUUUCUCAUUAAUCAUUUACUGGAUUGUUUGUGUAAAAUGUGAAAGUAAUUUUCUGAAAGUUAAAGGAAAACCUUUGGUAUUUUCUAUCUUAAGUCGAGAGAGAGGGAUGAAAAAAUUAGAUAUAUUUUGAAAUGACAUUUUUAUUUUAAACUCCUAGUGAAAAGAUAGAAAAAUAAAGAAAAUGGAAUAGCACAUUAAACGUUUAGUUUGGUA
rnacentral:lncRNA from 1 species